CCUGGCUGCGGGAGACAGAGGCUGUCACCAACUCACAGUCACAGACACGGGGUCCACCCAGGUCGGGUGUGGAAUGACUUCAGGAGACCAAAGUGGGGAGCGAGUAAGGAGGACGGGCACCCCUGGUGUGGCCUGCAUGGAGGUGACGACGCAGUGAGCAGGGUCCUCCCUCCUAAUGUCAUCUCGGACUGUGCUGAAGUCAUCGUCCUCUUCCACCAGGAGAUUCUGCAUUUCAAAAUAAGGAAGGAGCCACGUAUUCAGACAUCGUUUUAGCCUAUGUUUGAAUAAAUAUUUUCCAAGGAAAAGACAGACUCGGUUGAUGCCCACCCCUGCUCCAGGUAAGCCCACCAUCAACUGGGUGCUAGUGUUCUGUCUGCAUUGUCAUUCGAUGGCAGCACAGGAGGCGGACUCAGCAUUUACAUGGCUUAGACUUUCUGUAAAAAAAAAACAUCCUGGGACGACGUUUUCUAUACCAGAUACGUUCACCUGGAUGCACACAGCUCUGGUUUAUAAAUUUUAACUGCUGUGUUCUAUACCUGUUUCAGUAUUUUUCCCCAUUUUUAUCCCCUUUCUGAGGGUCAUUUAAGUUCUUCCCAGUUUACGCUGUCACACAGUGGACAUUUUUGUGUCUCCUCGCUCCCAGUGUGAGUUUUUCUGGGGUGAUGACUGAGUGGAAUUACCUUUCCUGAGUGCUGCCCACCGCUUCCAGAGCGGCUAGAGCAGGGGUGGGCAAACUUUUUGACUCGAGGGCCACAAUGGGUUCUUAAACUGGACCGGAGGGCCGGAACAAAAGCAUGGAUGGAGUGUUUGUGUGAACUAAUAUAAAUUCAAAGUAAACAUCAUUACAU